rnacentral:lncRNA from 1 species
CCCAGCGCCGCUCGGGCGCGCCAAUUUAGGGAAAAGGCUCCGCCCAUGCCCCGCCCCCUGAGACCUGGCGCCGGGCGCUUUGAGGCCCGGCUUACUCCCUUGCUGGGUAUGGGGAAGGGGCGUCUUCUGUCCUUGUGGUCCGCUUCUAGGCUUUUUGGAGCAUCUUCCAGGGUCACUCCAGAGACCCCCCCAGACUACUGAAUCUGAAUCCGUUAGGGUGGUCCAACCUUCCUCUUCAGUUAUGCAAAGUGUAGUCCCUGAACCAGCAGCCUCAGCAUCCUGAGGGAAUUUGUUAAAAACGCGAAAUCUCAAGCCCUACCCAGACUUACUGAAUCAGUGUCUGCAUUGCAACAAGAUCCCCUGGUAAUUCCUAUGCACAUCAAAAUUUGGAAGGCACAGCUCUCAACUGAUGUCCUGGGUCUCCUUCACAUCCAUCCUGGGAAGGUCUUAUUCCUCAUUCCUGAGCUCAUCCCACUGAAGAGCUAUGGCACUUCCAAUUCCUGAGCCUUUGUGAGGUUCUGCGUGUCAGUAAGCUUGCUUCCGGGCAUCACCUCCGAAAACACUUGGGUUUCAGUUUUCUCUGUGAGGCUUCUUAAGGAGUGGAGGAAAGUGGAUGUUUUCAAGAUAACGCAGCUAACAUUCAAAGAGGUUAAGUGAAUUGUCCAAAGUCACACAGCAAGCACUGGAGGUAAGAUUCAAACCUGAAUAGUCUAUCAUUUCAGAGUACUUUCAACACUAUGCAAUACUAUCUCUCUAGCAAUCAGCCAGAUUGAAUAAGAUCUGUAGUUCACAGAGCCACUUGCAUUUUUAAUCCUAGUUUAAUUAACUUAGGAAAUUUGUAUCUAAAGGAUGCAUCUUUUUUUUUUUUUUUUUCAAUAGAGGCAGUGUCUCACCAUGUUGCCCAGACUGGCCUCAAACUUCUGGGCUCAAACCAUCCUCCCAUCUCAGCCUUCCAAAUGCUGAGAUUACAGGCGUGAGCCACCACGUCCCACCGGGAUACAUAGGUUUUACGGUAUCCUCUGAACCUCCCUUUAAUCAAGAGAGUGGACAAAACUGUGGGUCCCUCAUUUUCAAAAUGGCCAGUAAAAGAGGAAAUAAGGAUAUGCAAUGUUUAGUUAUUUUCUGCUGCCCUCUUUAAGUUGAUUGGGGAUCUCUUUGUCACUACUUUGGGAAGAUAACUUACCUUCUUAUCCACUAUGGCUAAUUGGAGCUUUUCUCAUGUCUUUAUGGUUGCUGGGAAAUUUUCAAAUAAAAUUCACUGGGAAUGGUUUGAAAUUGCAGAAUUUUUAGCCUCCCGAUGUUUUAUUUUCCUCUAGUGAGUUGGACAUAAAUAAUAUCCUCUUUUGAGAUUUGUAUCUUUGAAAGACAUUUUUUUUUAAGUUUCUCAGUGAAACAAAGAAAAAAUUAGA